CUGAUGCAGCCAUGCCGCGUGUGUGAAGAAGGCCUUCGGGUUGUAAAGCACUUUCAGUCGUGAGGAAGGUGGUGUAGUUAAUAGCUGCAUUAUUUGACGUUAGCGACAGAAGAAGCACCGGCUAACUCCGUGCCAGCAGCCGCGGUAAUACGGAGGGUGCGAGCGUUAAUCGGAAUUACUGGGCGUAAAGCGCAUGCAGGUGGUUUGUUAAGUCAGAUGUGAAAGCCCGGGGCUCAACCUCGGAAUAGCAUUUGAAACUGGCAGACUAGAGUACUGUAGAGGGGGGUAGAAUUUCAGGUGUAGCGGUGAAAUGCGUAGAGAUCUGAAGGAAUACCGGUGGCGAAGGCGGCCCCCUGGACAGAUACUGACACUCAGAUGCGAAAGCGUGGGGAGCAAACAGGAUUAGAUACCCUGGUAGUCCACGCCGUAAACGAUGUCUACUUGGAGGUUGUGGCCUUGAGCCGUGGCUUUCGGAGCUAACGCGUUAAGUAGACCGCCUGGGGAGUACGGUCGCAAGAUUAAAACUCAAAUGAAUUGACGGGGGCCCGCACAAGCGGUGGAGCAUGUGGUUUAAUUCGAUGCAACGCGAAGAACCUUACCUACUCUUGACAUCCAGAGAACUUUGCAGAGAUGGAUUGGUGCCUUCGGGAACUCUGAGACAGGUGCUGCAUGGCUGUCGUCAGCUCGUGUUGUGAAAUGUUGGGUUAAGUCCCGCAACGAGCGCAACCCUUAUCCUUGUUUGCCAGCGAGUAAUGUCGGGAACUCCAGGGAGACUGCCGGUGAUAAACCGGAGGAAGGUGGGGACGACGUCAAGUCAUCAUGGCCCUUACGAGUAGGGCUACACACGUGCUACAAUGGCGCAUACAGAGGGC
rnacentral:rRNA from 1 species